rnacentral:rRNA from 1 species
AGGACGAACGCUGGCGGCGUGCUUAACACAUGCAAGUCGAACGGUAAGGCCCUUCGGGGUACACGAGUGGCGAACGGGUGAGUAACACGUGGGUGAUCUGCCCUGCACUUCGGGAUAAGCUUGGGAAACUGGGUCUAAUACCGGAUAUGACUACGAAUCGCAUGGUUUGUGGUGGAAAGCUUUUGCGGUGUGGGAUGGGCCCGCGGCCUAUCAGCUUGUUGGUGGGGUGAUGGCCUACCAAGGCGACGACGGGUAGCCGGCCUGAGAGGGUGUCCGGCCACACUGGGACUGAGAUACGGCCCAGACUCCUACGGGAGGCAGCAGUGGGGAAUAUUGCACAAUGGGCGCAAGCCUGAUGCAGCGACGCCGCGUGAGGGAUGACGGCCUUCGGGUUGUAACCUCUUUCAGUAUCGACGAAGCGCAGUGACGGUAGGUACAGAAGAAGGACCGGCCAACUACGCGCCAGCAGCCGCGGUAA